rnacentral:rRNA from 1 species
ACGUACACUCCUGCGGGAGGCAGCAGUAGGGAAUCUUCCACAAUGGGUGCAAACCUGAUGGAGCAAUGCCGCGUGAGUGAAGAAGGUCUUCGGAUCGUAAAGCUCUGUUGUUAGAGAAGAACACGUGCUAGGUAACUACUAGCGCCUUGACGGUAUCUAACCAGAAAGUCACGGCUAACUACGUGCCAGCAGCCGCGGUAAUACGUAGGUGACAAGCGUUGUCCGGAUUUAUUGGGCGUAAAGGGAGCGCAGGCGGUCUGUUUAGUCUAAUGUGAAAGCCCACGGCUUAACCGUGGAACGGCAUUGGAAACUGACAGACUUGAAUGUAGAAGAGGAAAAUGGAAUUCCAAGUGUAGCGGUGGAAUGCGUAGAUAUUUGGAGGAACACCAGUGGCGAAGGCGAUUUUCUGGUCUAACAUUGACGCUGAGGCUCGAAAGCGUGGGGAGCGAACAGGAUUAGAAACCCUAGUAGUCCCA